UACGUAGGGGGCUAGCGUUGUCCGGAAUCAUUGGGCGUAAAGAGCGUGUAGGCGGCCCGGUAAGUCCGCUGUAAAAGUCAAAGGCUCAACCUUUGAAUGUCAGUGGAUACUGCCGGGCUAGAGUCCGGAAGAGGCGAGUGGAACUCCUGGUGUAGCGGUGUGAUGCGCAGAUAUCAGGAAGAACACCAACGGCGAAGGCAGCUCGCUGGGACGGUACUGACGCUGAGACGCGAAAGCGUGGGGAGCGAACAGG
rnacentral:rRNA from 1 species